rnacentral:lncRNA from 1 species
UAAUAUAAGGGAAACUAAAGUAGUAAUCAAUUUUAUACUUUCAAUUGAAAGAUAGCAAAAUUUGCUAUCAAAUUUGAAGCCUCGACCUUAGUUUGCUUCACAUUUUCAUCAUUCGAACUUCCUUCGUCCCCAUUUUUUUUAUGCUUCUUUUCUUCUUUCUUCACAUGCUGCUUCUUUUCCUUUCCUUUCGCCUCUCUCAUUUUCCGCGGUUGAUUUUUAUCACCACGAGAUGAUGAACCGGUUACAUUCCUUUUUUCCUCCUCCAAUUAUGUCAAUCCAAUACCGAAGGAUGGCAAUGGCGAUAAGUCCUUAGACUUUUGCACCUGGAUCAAAGAAAAUCAUUAAAUACAUGUAAUGGUUUUAGAGUACAAUUCUCUAAAACAAUUCAACAGCAAAAAUGGUUUUAACAUUCAAGAUGAAGCAGUUACUUGAUGCUCUAAUAUUUAUUCAGUUCUAAAGAAUUAUU